rnacentral:rRNA from 1 species
UACGUAGGGUGCAAGCGUUGUCCGGAAUUAUUGGGCGUAAAGAGCUCGUAGGCGGUUUGUCGCGUCUGCUGUGAAAACUCGGGGCUUAACCCCGGGCCUGCAGUGGGUACGGGCAGACUAGAGUGCGGUAGGGGAGACUGGAAUUCCUGGUGUAGCGGUGAAAUGCGUUGAUAUCAAGAAGAACACCGGUGGCGAAGGCGGCUCUCUGGAAUGCUACUGACACUGAGGCACGAAAGCUGGGGGAGCAAACAGG